GGAGGGGCCACUCAGCCGUCUUAUCUGUAUAACGGGGCAACAGUCCUGACCUCACAGGCAAUUGUGAGGUUUCACAAAAAAUAAAAAAGUGCCCCCAGACAGGGUCUGGAGCCUAGUAAGCCCCCAAAGAACCACUGGCCUUUUGACUCCUGACAGCUGGUAUUGGAGGAAGCGCCCAUCUCCUCUGACACAGAGGCACCCACAGUAGCAGAGGGAAUACUGUAACACAGUUUCCAUUCCAGCUGGAAGUUUCCUUGGCCUAGGGCAUCCAGGGCUCCUGGCUAAAAGGUGACCUAAUUAUUAAUGAAAGCUCCAGAGAUGAAAGCUAAGACAUAAUCCACCCCUGAAUGGACUCAGAAGGAGCAGAUAAUGGGACAAUAAAAUUAAUCUUGUAGAAAAACACAAUUAGCUGUAUCAUUUAUAAAUCUCAUCUCCUUCCACAUGGGGCGAAGAAGGAGCGACACAGUCAGAGCGCUCUCGGCACAGCCUCCCGUUUUGCACACACAAGUGCCCCUUUUCCUGGGACAACAUUUUCCUUUCACAUUCAGGGGUCAUUGUUGGAGGUUUAAAAACAAUCUUCAGAAUUGCAGUGAGCCAAGAUUGUGCCCCUGCACUCUAGCCUGGGUGAGAGAGCAAGACUGUUUCAAAAAAAGGGUUCUCCAAAUCACCACACCCUUGCAAGCUUAAUGCCUGUAGUGAGCUGAAUGGCGACCCUUAAAAGAUAUGUCCACAUGCUAACCCCGGGAACCUGAUUUACCUUACAUAGUAAAAGAGUGAACAUUAUCUUAUAUGGCAAAGAUAGGAUUAAGUUAAGGAUUUUGAGAGGGAGACCUUAUCCUGGAUUAUCCCAGCAGGCCCUAAAUCCUAUGAUGAGUGUCCUUAUAAGAGACACAGAGAAGAGGAGGAGGCAAUAUGACUGGAGUGACAUGAAGGCAGAGAUUGGAGUGAUGCAGCCACAGUCAAAGAAUGUCUGGAGCCACUGGAAGCUGGAGGGGGAAAGAACAGGUUCUUCUCUGUGGCUUGUAGAGGGAGUGAGGCCCUGCUGGGACCUAGACUUUAGACUUCUGGCCUCCAAAGCCAGGAGAGAACAUGUUUCUAUUGUUUUAAGCCAAAUUUGUUCCAACAGUGGCAGGAAGCUCAUAUACUGUCUUAACACAUUCUGUUCUCCUACCUGGAAUGCCUUCCCCUCUGCACGCACCUCUCUCAGGCCCACCUGUAGGAAGCUUUAUCCACAGUCUUUACCCACAGUCUCUGGAUGUCCUCCCUCCUGGCAAGAGGCAGAGGCCACUCUCCCACAGGGCCACUGCUCCCAGCAAAGACUUGCCCUUGUCCGUAGCUCCCUGCGGGUGGCGCUGUGUCUCAUGCAUUUUGCAUUGUCCAUGCCCUUCACAGGGCCCAGAUACAAUCAGCAGAGGA
rnacentral:lncRNA from 1 species